UUAACAGAAUAUUGUGGGAAUAUUUUGGAUGAAACAUACCUUUGGGUGACUUUAUGUAAUGUUACCAGAAUGUUCUGGGAACCAAAAAGAAACUUACCUUAAAAACAUUCCCUGAAUGUUAGUGCUAACUAAAAAA